UGCUUAAAUUGCUCGGGGCAGUCCACGCGUACACAGCUGAAGUCUUCUUUAGCUACCACAUCACACUGACAGAGAAAAUACGAGCCUGGUUAGGUAGGAAGGUCAGAACAGUCUUAUUCUAGGAGGGCAGCAGUGCUCACAGCCAGAGCCUGUAAACGGCGGGUGAAUUGCACCAGAUGGAAACAAAAAAAUAGCACGGGCUUCACACAGUCGGGAGGAUUCAAUGAGAUUCUAUCAGGUGCCUAGCACAUAGGAGGCACUCCAUAAAGGAGAGCUGCCUCUUGUCCUGUCAGGCUGGAAGCCCCCUGGAUAGUCUAUUCUAGAGGAACGGAGAGCUUCAUAAGAAUUGCUUCUUCGUAGCUGUGAGGCCGUGGGCAUGUGAAGAGCCAGGAAUACGAAACACAAAAAACAUUACGACUACAUGGCACCUCGGGAACGAGGAGGAAAGCCUCAGCCUAACAACGACACGCAGCAGUAAAGUCGGCAGCUUUCCCUUUAAGUAGGGCGGGCCGCCCCGCGGACGGAGCCCUCCGGAAGUCGCUGCGCGCCGCCACGAGAUCAGAUUCCUCCGCCGAGCGCGGCGCCGGGUCCCCCGGCUUCGCCCCUGUCUGCACCAGACUUGCUCCUCUCCCCGCCGCCCGACGGCAACAGGUCUUCCGGCUGCCGCUUCUCCGGCCGAUACUGCCGGUGACCUGCCCGCCGGCGCUCGGGCCUAGGCCUGGCCUGGUCUGCGGAGGCCGCCGCACGCCGCCGGCGGAACCUGGCCCCGAGCCCGCCACGCACUUCCGGCGACGCCAGGCGGGGACUGAGGCGGGCGGGGCGCGGCGCGGCGGCCCUGAUGGACGCGCUGGCGGUCCUGAUGCAGGCUUCCUGACCCAGAACGAUGUCCUGCGCAGGGAGAACACCAGCUCAUGGGCCAGGUGCGUCGCCUGCUGUGCGAGAAAGCCAACCUGCUGGCCCAGGUGCAGCCGCCGGCCUGCCCGGGGGCCCUUCCCGAAACAUUUAAACGCGACUCCGCCCGGCUGCCCGUUUUCUUGAUGCAGGCGGCUUCUUACAUGAGGCUCUUCGAAGCCAGAUUCUCCAGCGACACCCUGAAGGUGGCAUUUCUAAUCAGUCGCCUCGCUGGGCCUGCAGAGGAGUGGGUAGUCCCCUACAUCAGAGGGAGAGCCCUAUCCUAGCUCAAUACGAGGGCUUCGUGGACGCGCUGAAGCGGGCCUUUUGUAGAAAACAACGGGGCCGGGACCCCUUGUGUUGGGAGGGACGGCCUCCAGCCCCUGCGCUCCCCACAAGCCCCGUCCUGCUUGGCUUUGGUUCACAAAGAGCUGUCCAGUUCCCAGCGGCUGCGCCCUGAGCCUGGCUAGGAAGCUUGGCGCCGCCUGUUCUUGCCAGCCCCUCGCCUUUGCCCAGCCCCUGGCCGGGGACCUCUUGGAGAUUGAGUGGACCACCCAGAGUCACGCCUUUGCCACCUGCCGACAGUUUAUAUACCUGAGGACCAUAGUAAAAACAUCGAAUUAUAUUUUUGCGGGAUGUGAUUAAAGACAGGUUAUUUUAUCAUUGCCUGUUAGCAUUACAAGUGUGUGUAAGGAAACUGGGCCCCUCAUAUACCAUACUUUGGCAGCAGAUACUACUAACAAAAUAAAUUGAACCUUGGUCCUAUUGGCUAAUAAUUUCAAAGCAGUGUUUUACCCGCAGUAAAUAAAAGUCUACAGGUGGGGCCAGCUGAUGGUGCAGCAGUUAAGUUCACACGUUCUGCUUCGGCGGCCCUGGGUUUGCCAGUUCAGAUCCCGGGUGGGCACAUGGCACCACUUGGCAAGCCAUGCUGUGAUAGGUGUCCCACGUAUAAAGUGGAGAAAGAUGGGCAUGGAUGUUAGCUCAGGACCAGUCUUCCUCAGCAAAAAGAGGAGGAUUGGCAGCAAAUGUUAGCUCAGGGCUAAUCUUCCUAAAAAAAAAAAAAAAAAAAAAAAAGUCUACAAGAUAAAGCGCCAAAAACUUUUUUCAGUAAACCUCACAGGAGCACAGAUUUGAUAAGAUACAAAACCUUUCUAAUGAAAGAUUAACAUCAACGUUUAAUAAUUAGAGCAUGAAAAAAAUGUCACUCAGAAGUCAGACUAUCUCAUACUUGAUUUUCUAUAGCUGUCUCUCUUUUUUUGCAUAACUUAGCUCUCCACCAAAAGAAAAAAACAAGAGA
ensembl:lncRNA